AUUAUAUUCUAAAAGUUGUAUAUUAAUGAUAAGAAUUCAAUUAACCAUAUACGUGCUAUAAUUAUUUGUGCUAUGAAUAGUAGCUGGUGAUGUAGGAUUCAUUUUCCGAUUUACAAGAGAGAUUUACAAAAGAGAGGAAAUAUCAAUUAAUUUUUUUACGUUCUGUAAUAGAUUUGUCCUUGGACAUUAAAAAUAUCAUCAAGGGCAAUGAAUAUGUCUUAACAUAUGGGAUCAAUUGUUGUAUCAAAUUCAAAAAACCACCAUUUGAAAAAUUUGACCCUGGCUAAGAUAAACAUUAGUGAACAAUAUAUUAUAAGGAAAACUCUGUACAAGAUACUAGAAAUGCUAAAAGAUGACCAAGAAGCUUUUACACAAGUCAGGCUAUUAGACAACAAUCCCUUGUAAUACAGAGAAAGACUUGGAACACUCUAUAAUGGAAUAGCUUAGAUUUGCAAACAUCCGUAAACAAAGGAAAAAAUCUUAAAAGCAACUGUUUGGUAAAGAUCCGGAAAGAUUAAUAAUCUGUUUAAAAAGAAAGAAUAAGAGUUUAGAAAAAAAUAGUAAAAGAGUUAUAUUAAACUAGAGCACCUGUAUCGCAUUGCUUAAAAAAGAGUUAGAAGGCACCUUAAUUUCCCUUAUCCGAAGGUUGACUUCAAAAAUCCCUUCCUAGGAUCCCUUCCUAGAAUUAAUACUUUCUGAGAUAAUUGGCAGAGAUAAUUUGUAGAAAUAAUUGGCACACGAAAUAAAUCUCAU